AGUGAAUGGCCGUUAAAGACUGGAAAGAGGGAAGAUAAGCGCGUGUGCGCGUCUGUGUGGUCGAUAAGUGCCCUCCUCCCCGCCCCCUCCGGGCCUCGGCUGUCAUGGCCUCUGCUUCCAAAUCCUUCCUCGCCGAUGCCGGCUACGGGGAGCAGGAGUUGGACGCCAACUCCGCCCUCAUGGAGCUGGAUAAAGGUCUCCGAUCUGGCAAACUGGGGGAGCAGUGUGAAGCAGUUGUACGUUUUCCCAGACUCUUUCAGAAAUACCCAUUCCCAAUUCUAAUUAACUCAGCAUUUUUAAAGCUAGCCGAUGUUUUCAGAGUGGG